UAUUAUUUGAGCCAGUUUUUGGAGGUGAGGGAGGGACCAUCUCGAUGGGAGAAGGAGAUGGAACGGACUGAGGAGCAGUAUUUUGAAGGACAUGAUGCAUGCUAUAGGCAUUCGAUGGGUCAUGGGGGGAAGGCACUAUGGUGUAUGAAUUAUUAGAAGGGGCAGAAGAACUCUGGGGGUAGGAGGGUGGAGUUAGAGCUGCAAUGGAAUGAUAUGUUGAUGUAGGAGUAAAAGGCGGCAAUGAAGCGAGAGAAGGAGAAACUACGGAGGAGGAGAGUGGGGGAAGUCGAGUUAGUAUUGAGGGAUGCUGAAGAUGCAAUGAAUUUGGAGGUGCUGGCUGUUGGUAAGUGUACGUAUAACCGCCUUGCUGGGAUUCCAUUCCA